CCUACGGGAGGCAGCAGUGAGGAAAAUUGGUCAAUGGACGAGAGUCUGAACCAGCCAAGUAGCGUGAAGGAUGACUGCCCUAUGGGUUGUAAACUUCUUUUAUAUGGGAAUAAAAUGUUCCACGUGUGGGAUUUUGUAUGUACCAUAUGAAUAAGGAUCGGCUAACUCCGUUCCAGCAGCCGCGGUAAUACGGAGGAUCCGAGCGUUAUCCGGAUUUAUUGGGUUUAAAGGGAGCGUAGGUGGAUUGUUAAGUCAGUUGUGAAAGUUUGCGGCUCAACCGUAAAAUUGCAGUUGAAACUGGCAGUCUUGAGUACAGUAGAGGUGGGCGGAAUUCGUGGUGUAGCGGUGAAAUGCUUAGAUAUCACGAAGAACUCCGAUUGCGAAGGCAGUUCACUGGACUGCAACUGACACUGAGGCUCGAAAGUGUGGGUAUCAAACAGGAUUAGAUACCCCUGUAGUC
rnacentral:rRNA from 1 species